GACGAACGCUGGCGGCGUGCCUAACACAUGCAAGUUGAGCGACGAACCAGGGCGUGCCCUGGGGCAAAGCAGCGAACGGGUGAGUAACACGUGGGUAACCUGCCCCGAUGACCGGGACAACCCGAGGAAACUCGGGCUAAUACCGGAUGAGCUCUCCGCGCUCGAGCGCGGAGAGGAAAGGUAGCUUCGGCUUCCGCGUCGGGAGGGGCCCGCGGCCCAUUAGCUUGUUGGUGAGGUAACGGCUCACCAAGGCGACGAUGGGUAGCUGGUCUGAGAG
rnacentral:rRNA from 1 species